AACAACCAUCCUUUUUCUUUUGGUUUAGUCGGAGUUAGGCUUUAGAUGGUGUGGGUAGAGUCAAGAGUAGUCAAGACUGACGCAGCCAUUCUGGGCUUCAAGUCACUAAACCACACAAAUCUCUGCCGUCCCCGCGUUAUAUUUCAGAAAGGGAUCCUUCAAACUGCAUUGAUGCACACAGACCCCCGUCAUCAAGUCUAGUUCCUGGUAAUCGAGUCUAGUUCCGGUAAUUGGUUCUAGUUCCCGGACAUCCAGUCUAGUUCCCGGACAUCAAGUCUAGUUCCCGGUCAUCGAGUCUAGUUCCCGGACAUAAAGUCUAGUUCACGGUCAUUGAGUCUAGUUCCCGGUCAUCAAGUCUAGUUCCCGGACAUCAAGUCUAGUUCCCGGUCAUCGACUCUAGUUCCCGGACAUCAAGUCUAGUUCCUGGUCAUCAAGUCUAGUUCCUCCUAGAAGUUUUCAACCAUCGUCUAGUUCACGGUCAUCAAGUCUAGUCCUCCUAGAAGUUUUCAACCAUCGUCUAGUUCCCGACCAUCAAGUCUAGUUCCCGACCAUCAAGUCUAGUUCCCGGUCAUCAAGUCUAGUUCCUGGGCAUCAAGUCUAGUUCCUCCUAGAAGUUUUCGACCAUCGUCUAGUUCCCGACCAUCAAGUCUAGUUCCCGGACAUCAAGUCUAGUUCCCGGCCAUCAAGUCUAGUUCCCGGCCAUCAAGUCUAGUUCCUGCUAGAAGUUUUCGACCAUCGUCUAGUUCCCGACCAUCAAGUCUAGUUCCCGGACAUCAAGUCUAGUUCCCGGCCAUCAAGUCUAGUUCCCGGCCAUCAAGUCUAGUUCCUGCUAGAAGUUUUCGACCAUCGUCUAGUUCCCGACCAUCAAGUCUAGUUCCCGGACAUCAAGUCUAGUUCCCGGCCAUCAAGUCUAGUUCCCGGCCAUCAAGUCUAGUUCCUGCUAGAAGUUUUCGACCAUCGUCUAGUUCCCGACCAUCAAGUCUAGUUCCCGGCCAUCAAGUCUAGUUCCUGCUAGAAAUUUUCGACCAUCGUCUAGUUCCACGUCAUCGAGUAGCCGUGAGUUCCAGCAAGCCGCCGCCAUGUUUAUAACGGUCGAGAUGAUCCCGGUCCUGCUGGGGAUGGCCGUGGUCGUGCCCUUGACCUUUGACGUCAUCCGGUCCAUCCUGGAGGACAGGCUAGACUUUGACGUGAUGAUAAACUUGACCCUCCUCAGAAUCAUUGAAGCUGUUAUUGCAAUCUGGCUCUUCCCGUCGGCUUUGAUCUACACCAUCACAGUCACCGCCUAUGGAUUAUCGCUCGAGAUCUUCUCGGCAUCCAAGCGACUGGUGGAUUAUCUCAGGGCGCCGCGGAUUAUCGAGGCCCUGUAUUACUACAUCACGAUCCUUGUAACCUUCCUGGGCAUUCACAUAGCGGUAAUUAAUUGCCUAAAGUUCAUUUACAACUCGUUCUGAGAUGAGGAAUAUUUGCUCUCUGUUAACAUGUCAUUCACUACACUGUAUAGUAGGUUCUAACUAGGUUAAGGUAUAAAUCAUUUAGAGCUAUAAAUUAGAUAGAAUUUUAAUUUUCUAAAUUUUAAUGAGGAGUCUUGUGGAGUAGAGACUAUUUUGUUACCUAUAAUGUAUUUACUGGCAGUUUUGUUUUGAAAUUAUUUUUUCUAUAGACAUCAUUUUAAAAAUAACUAUAUAAUGUAUAAUCCGAGCUAAAUGUUUUAAAGGAUAUAAUUAUAUAUAUAUAUAUAUAUAUAUAUAU